GGUAAAGUAGCUUAAUUAUAAGCGGUAGAUUGUAAAUCUACAGAUGGUUUAACCCUUUUACUA
rnacentral:tRNA from 1 species